UGGAUUUUUAUGAAUUUUAAAAGUUGUGUACUAACAUGAUAAUUGAUAUAAUUAUACUGUAGAGAUAUUUCAUUGGUUGACCGAGCACCUGUCAUUAAAUAGAACAGGAGGAGGAGAGAGAAGAGGAAGCACAAAUAUAAGAAACCAUCAGCUAGGAGGAGACCAAUGAGACAACAGGUACAUACAGUGACAUCACAUCCAGGAAGGACUAUCAGUUAAUGUUAGAGUUAAAGUGAAAUUUGAGUAAAUGAAAAAGAAGGAAAGGAAAAGGAGAGAGAUAUAUGAAGCUACCAUGACUCACUUCGACAGCUUCAAACUUGUCAACACCAUAACUACUGUACGUGUAUGUGUUCAAUAAUAUUAUUUUUUAUGGCAUACCAUACAUGCUAUACUCCAGUAGUAAUUCAAUGAGACCAUACUGUUCUGAAAAUUACUAAUUAUUGUUGUGUCAUAAUGCAGCUAAAA